UGGGGAAUCUUCCGCAGUGGACGAAAGUCUGACGGAGCAACGCCGCGUGAGUGAAGAAGGUUUUCGGAUCGUAAAACUCUGUCUUUUGGGGCGAACGUGAGUAUGGUGAACAAUCAUAGUCAGUGACGGUACCAAAGGAGGAAGCCACGGCUAACUACGUGCCAGCAGCCGCGGUAAUACGUAGGUGGCAAGCGUUGUCCGGAAUUAUUGGGCGUAAAGAGCGCGUAGGCGGGAUAGUCAGUCUGUUGUAAAAGUGCGGGGCUCAACCCCGUGAUGGCAAUGGAAACAGCUAUUCUUGAGUGCAGGAGAGGAAAGUGGAAUUCCCAGUGUAGCGGUGAAAUGCGUAGAUAUUGGGAGGAACACCAGUGGCGAAGGCGACUUUCUGGACUGUGUCUGACGCUGAGGCGCGAAAGCCAGGGGAGCGAACGGGAUUAGAUACCCCCGGUAGUCCUGGCCGUAAACGAUGGGUACUAGGUGUGGGAGGUAUCGACCCCCUUCCCGUGCCGGAAGUUAACGCAAAUAAGUACCCCGCCUGGGGAGUACGGUCGCAAGACUGAAACUCAAAUGAAUUGACGGGGUCAUAGCUGUUUCCUG
rnacentral:rRNA from 1 species